GGUUGUCGUCAGCUCGUGUCGUGAGAUGUGGUUAAGUCCCGCAACGAGCGCAACCCCUAUUGUUAGUUGCCAUCAUUCAGUUGGGCACUCUAGCGAGACUGCCGGUAAUAAACCGGAGGAAGGUGGGGAUGACGUCAAAUCAUCAUGCCCCUUAUGACCUGGGCUACACACGUGCUACAAUGGUUGGUACAACGAGUUGCGAGUCGGUGACGGCGAGCUAAUCUCUUAAAGCCAAUCUCAGUUCGGAUUGUAGGCUGCAACUCGCCUACAUGAAGUCGGAAUCGCUAGUAAUCGCGGAUCAGCACGCCGCGGUGAAUACGUUCCCGGGCCUU
rnacentral:rRNA from 1 species